UACGUAGGGGGCAAGCGUUGUCCGGAAUCAUUGGGCGUAAAGCGCGCGUAGGCGGCCCGGUAAGUCCGCUGUAAAAGUCCAGGGCUCAACCCUGGAAAGCCGGUGGAUACUGUCGGGCUAGAGUCCGGAAGAGGCGAGUGGAAUUCCUGGUGUAGCGGUGGAAUGCGCAGAUAUCAGGAGGAACACCGAUGGCGAAAGCGGCUCUCUGGAACGGUACUGACGCUGAGACGCGAAAGCGUGGGGAGCGAACAGG
rnacentral:rRNA from 1 species